rnacentral:rRNA from 1 species
CUAACACAUGCAAGUCGAACGGUAACAGGAAGCAGCUUGCUGUUUCGCUGACGAGUGGCGGACGGGUGAGUAAUGUCUGGGAAACUGCCUGAUGGAGGGGGAUAACUACUGGAAACGGUAGCUAAUACCGCAUAACGUCGCAAGACCAAAGAGGGGGACCUUCGGGCCUCUUGCCAUCGGAUGUGCCCAGAUGGGAUUAGCUAGUAGGUGGGGUAACGGCUCACCUAGGCGACGAUCCCUAGCUGGUCUGAGAGGAUGACCAGCCACACUGGAACUGAGACACGGUCCAGACUCCUACGGGAGGCAGCAGUGGGGAAUAUUGCACAAUGGGCGCAAGCCUGAUGCAGCCAUGCCGCGUGUAUGAAGAAGGCCUUCGGGUUGUAAAGUACUUUCAGCGGGGAGGAA